CGACCUCGGGCUGUAC
rnacentral:rRNA from 1 species